rnacentral:rRNA from 1 species
CAGCAGCCGCGGUAAUACGAAGGGGGCUAGCGUUGUUCGGAUUUACUGGGCGUAAAGCGCACGUAGGCGGAUCGAUCAGUCAGGGGUGAAAUCCUGGAGCUCAACUCCAGAACUGCCUUUGAUACUGUCGAUCUCGAGUCCGGAAGAGGUGAGUGGAACUCCUAGUGUAGAGGUGGAAUUCGUAGAUAUUAGGAAGAACACCAGUGGCGAAGGCGGCUCACUGGUCCGGUACUGACGCUGAGGUGCGAAAGCGUGGGGAGCAAACAGGAUUAGAUACCCCCGUAGUCCCUGUCUCUUAUAC